AUUACUUUGGCAGAUUAGUGCGGUAGAUUUAGGAUCUAUAAAUGGGAGGUGUCUCAGGUAAUA
rnacentral:tRNA from 1 species